ACGGUGUGAUCAGAGCAGUCGGCAGAGAGCGUGGCCAGGCUGUUUACCACACACCGCACAGUAAAGCCCGUGAGGUCCUUCAAUCACAGGGGGGCAGAAACAUUUGCCUCACUGUCUCUCAGUU